rnacentral:lncRNA from 1 species
ACUAUAACUUUAAAAUAGUUCUUAAAGUACUAAUCCUAUAUAUUUUCUUCAUGGAACAUCCUGUUUCUUUUCAGAGAGCACUGUGAAGCUCAUGGAAUCUUUAUUUAUCAGUUACAAGUCUAGUGACUGACAACUUAGAUUUAACUAGCAUCUCCAAGGAGUGAAAGAGUCCCUAAAAUGGAAAUGAAUUCUGCUGAUAUUUGAUGGGAAAAAAGGGAUGAUGGACAGAAGAAACCAGGAAGCUAACCUGAAACAUAUACUAAAGAAAGGAAGAUGUAAGAGAAAGCACCAAAGGGCUGGAUAACAGAAAUGGAAAUCCGGGAUUGCAGCCAGUGGACUUUUGUGCCGAAAGCCUAGGUCCAGAGUUGCUGAGUCCCAUGAAACUGUUGGUGGAGGUACCAAAGCCAGAGCUGCUAUAGUUUCUUCAUCAUUUGAAGAAGAAAGCCUUGAACAGAGGUAAGAUGAUCUGACCUAUGCUGCACAGUAAGCUUUUACUCAAUUUUCAAUAAACUAUUACUCCGAGAUCUUCUUCCA